GCUAUGAGGUCCACAGCUCCAUGGAGGUCAGGCCAAACGGUACACUCACCAUCAUUACUGAAAUGAGACUGGAUGUUCUCAAUCAAAGCUUCACCCGCUCGCUCACCCUCCACCCACUCCCAGAAUGCUGUGAGGUGCCUCUUGCAACCAGGGGCAGACCGGCUUUGGUAUUAUUAGGGAUAGUUCUCUUGGCAGCAUUAGCAAUGUCACUCAUUUUGUACUACAGACACAAGCCUGAAACACACCAACACCAGAUGGUCCCACGUGAUGAUACAACAGGACAAGAUGAGGCUCAUGAAACAGAGACUUGAUACGUCAUGACAGAAAACUAGUUUGAGAAGUCUAAGUUUACAGCACUGUGUUUCAGUGUCACAAAUAUAGGUGUGUUGCUGCCUUUGAAAAAUGUCCACACCCUCUUGGUUAAGUAGUAUAGGGUACUUUCGUAAUUAAAGGAGAUGAACUCCCAA